UGGGGAAUAUUGGACAAUGGGGGGAACCCUGAUCCAGCCAUGCCGCGUGUGUGAAGAAGGCCUUAUGGUUGUAAAGCACUUUAAGCGAGGAGGAGGGUACUGGUAUUACUACUACCAGCUACUGGACGUUACUCGCAGAAUAAGCACCGGCUAACUCUGUGCCAGCAGCCGCGGUAAUACAGAGGGUGCGAGCGUUAAUCGGAUUUACUGGGCGUAAAGCGUGCGUAGGCGGCUAAUUGAGUCGGAUGUGAAAUCCCCGAGCUUAACUUGGGAAUUGCAUUCGAUACUGGUUAGCUAGAGUGUGGGAGAGGAUGGUAGAAUUCCAGGUGUAGCGGUGAAAUGCGUAGAGAUCUGGAGGAAUACCGAUGGCGAAGGCAGCCAUCUGGCCUAACACUGACGCUGAGGUACGAAAGCAUGGGGAGCAAACAGG
rnacentral:rRNA from 1 species